rnacentral:rRNA from 1 species
AACGAACGCUGGCGGCGUGGCUAAGACAUGCAAGUCGAACGGACCAUCUAAUUGAGCAAUCGAAAGGGUGGUUAGUGGCGAAAGGGUGAGUAAUAGGUAGGUAACGUACCCUGUGCACCGGGAUAGCGUCAUACCCGCAAGGGUAUUUCCGAAAGGGGCGGUAAUACCGGAUAACGUCGUAGGUCGACGGACUUAUGACCAAAGAUUUAUCGGCACAGGAGCGGCCUACUUCCUAUCAGCUAGUUGGUGAGGUAACGGCCCACCAAGGCGAUGACGGGUAGCGGGACUGAGAGGUUGGCCCGCCACAUCGGGACUGAGACACUGCCCGGACCUCCACGGAGGGCUGCAGUAACGAAUAUUGGGCAAUGGGCGAAAGCCUGACCCAGCGACGCCGCGUGCGGGAGGAAGUUCUUCGGAAUGUAAAUCGCUUUAGGGGGAUAGAAAGCGUACUUCGGUACGUUGAUCGGCCCCAGAAUAAGUCACGGCUAACUUCGUGCCAGCAGCCGCGGUAAGACGAAGGUGGCAAGCGUUGUUCGGUAUCACUGGGCUUAAAGCGUGUGUAGGUGGGAGCGUAAGCAUUGGGUGAAAUCCCCCGGCUUAACCGGGGAAUUGCUUGAUGUACUGCGUUUCUUGAGGCAAGUAGGGGUGCGAGGAACUCUUGGUGGAGCGGUGGAAUGCGUAGAUAUCAAGAGGAACGCCGAUGGUGAAGACAUUGCACUAGGCUUGUCCUGACACUGAGACACGAAAGCGUGGGGAGCGAACGGGAUUAGAUACCCCGGUAGUCCACGCCGUAAACGAUGCCUACUAGGUUGUGGUGGUUCUGACGCCAGCACAGCCGAAGCAAAAGUGUUAAGUAGGCCGCCUGGGGAGUACGGUCGCAAGGCUA